rnacentral:rRNA from 1 species
GACGAACCGUGCGAACGUUGUUCGGAUUCACUGGGCUUAAAGGGCGCGUAGGCGGAUUGUCAAGUCAGGGGUGAAAGCCUCCAGCUUAACUGGAGAAGUGCCUUUGAUACUGAUGAUCUCGAGGGAGGUAGGGGCAUGUGGAACUUCCGGUGGAGCGGUGAAAUGCGUAGAUAUCGGAAGGAACGCCGGUGGCGAAAGCGACGUGCUGGACCUCUUCUGACGCUGAGGCGCGAAAGCUAGGGGAGCAAACGGG